UACGUAGGCAGCAAGCGUUGUUCGGAGUUACUGGGCGUAAAGAGCGUGUAGGCGGCCAGAAAAGUCCGCUGUGAAAACUCGAGGCUCAACUUCGAGCUGUCGGUGGAAACUUUCUGGCUAGAGUCCGGAAGAGGAGAAUGGAAUUCCUGGUGUAGCGGUGAAAUGCGCAGAUAUCAGGAAGAACACCCGUGCGAAGGCGGUUCUCUGGGACGGUACUGACGCUGAGACGCGAAAGCGUGGGGAGCGAACAGG
rnacentral:rRNA from 1 species